UUAACUGAUAUGCAGGUGUGUUGUCACAGCAGGAAGCCACGAGCUUGGCCUUGCCUGGAAUUAAGCUCUCUUUUGGAGCAUAUGUUUGAUGGAGAGUGUGAUGGGACUUCCUUCAGCCUGAAGCUUGGAUAAUUCAAGCCAGGUGUACCUGCUCCUAGGAAACAGAGAUGCUGUGAGGAUGGUCAUCUGCCACAAACCCUGCCUGGCCCAGCUGGGCACAUCCAGCAGCACUUGCUCAAAGGAAGAUGGACAGAGUAUCUAGACUCUAGACCAACUGAGCCUGUCCAGGAAGUACAGGUUGUAUGUGGAGCCUACCAGGACAACGACAUCAGAAUAGUGACAUCACAGACAAGCCCUCCACCCAGAGCAAAGUAAUACUCAAAGCCUCUGCUUUCUCAUCCCAAACACUAGAGCCCAGAUCUGGGAGAUGGCCAGUCUUGUCCUGCCUGAAUCUUCCAGUGGCAAUUGGCUCCUCUGCUGUGUGGCCCUCUUCCUUCUGGGGGCAGGUUCCGUGGCUGCUGGAGUCUCCCAGUUCCCAAGACACCUAAUCAAAGUCCAAGGGGGGCAGGCUGUUCUGAAGUGUCAUCCCAUCUCCGGACAUAAUACGGUGUACUGGUACCAGCAGGCUCUGAGCCAGAGCCCCGAGUUCCUCAUUAGUUUUUAUGAAGAGGAGGAGGGACAGAAAGGAAACAUCCCAGAUCGGUUCUCAGCAAAACAGUUCAAUAACUACAGCUCUGAGCUGGCCAUAAGCACCUUGCAGCUGGGAGACUCGGCUGUGUAUCUCUGUGCCAGCAGCUUAGACACAGCCCUGCAGGGUCAAUGGCUUUCUGUACUCAAACCUCCCUGCCUCAGCUGAGGAUGUCACAGGAAAGGGUGGGGGCCUUAGUGAGUUCCAGGGCUUCUAGUUCUUUCUUAAGACUCUCUCUGCUGAGCUCAGCCUGAGCUUCCCUGAGUGUCCUUCCAGCUCUGCCAGCACCUUGCAAUUCUUAGCACAUGGCAGGAACUCCUGCUGUGAUAGAGUGGGGUCCAUGUUGUGCGUGCUAAUUCACAGACGACAUUGUGUUCCACUUUACCGAGGAGGAAGCGCUCAUUAUACCAUUUUAUAGGCAGGAAGUUUCAGCCCUCGGACAUCUCAAAUAUUUCACAUAUGUCAACCCUACAUCUCCAGGCCUCCAAAGUCAACAUUGCCCAGAAUUCCAUGGUGCUGCCUGGGCCUGGUCCAUAAGAUAUAACAGAGCUCUGGCUCUCCCAUUUCAAGAGCAUUUGAGCUGGG